rnacentral:rRNA from 1 species
UACAGAGGUCUCGAGCGUUAGGCGGAAUCACUGGGUUUAAAGCGUGUGUAGGCGGAUCGUUAAGUGCCUUGUGAAAUCCCACGGCUCAACCGUGGAACUGCUUGGCAUACUGGCGGUCUUGAGCAACCUAGGGGCGAGCGGAACAAAUGGUGGAGCGGUGAAAUGCGUAGAUAUCAUUUGGAACGCCAAUGGUGAAAACAGCUCGCUGGGGGUUUGCUGACGCUGAGGUGCGAAAGCGUGGGGAGCAAACAGG